AUCCUGGCUCAGGAUGAACGCUGGCGGCGUGCUUAACACAUGCAAGUCGAACGGACUCAUAUUGAAACCUAGUGAUUUAUGAGUUAGUGGCGGACGGGUGAGUAACGCGUGGAAAACCUGCCGUAUACUGGGGGAUAACACUUAGAAAUAGGUGCUAAUACCGCAUAAGCGCACAGCUUCGCAUGAAGUGGUGUGAAAAACUCUGGUGGUAUACGAUGGUUCCGCGUCUGAUUAGCUUGUUGGUGGGGUAAUGGCUCACCAAGGCGACGAUCAGUAGCCGGCCUGAGAGGGUGAACGGCCACAUUGGGACUGAGACACGGCCCAAACUCCUACGGGAGGCAGCAGUGGGGAAUAUUGCACAAUGGGGGAAACCCUGAUGCAGCGACGCCGCGUGAGUGAAGAAGUAUUUCGGUAUGUAAAGCUCUAUCAGCAGGGAAGAAAUAGCGACCUUUGGGUCGCCAGACGGUACCUGAUUAAGAAGCCCCGGCUAACUACGUGCCAGCAGCCGCGG
rnacentral:rRNA from 1 species